rnacentral:rRNA from 1 species
GUCGAGAAUCUUUCACAAUGGGGGCAACCCUGAUGGAGCGACGCCGCGUGGAGGAUAAGGUCUUCGGAUUGUAAACUCCUGUCAUGCGUGAACAAGGUUGCUUGGUUAAUACCUGGGCAAAUUGAUGGUAACGCAAGAGGAAGAGACGGCUAACUCUGUGCCAGCAGCCGCGGUAAUACAGAGGUCUCAAGCGUUGUUCGGAAUCACUGGGCGUAAAGGGUGCGUAGGUGGCGUGGUAAGUCAGAUGUGAAAGCCCGGGGCUCAACCUCGGAACUGCAUCCGAUACUGCCAUGCUAGAGUACUGGAGAGGUGACUAGAAUUCUCGGUGUAGCAGUGAAAUGCGUAGAUAUCGAGAGGAAUACCAAAGGCGUAGGCAGGUCACUGGACAGUUACUGACACUGAGGCACGAAGGCCAGGGGGGCGAACGGGAUUAGAAACCCCGGUAGUCC